rnacentral:tRNA from 2 species
UGGAAGUUAGCUCACUGGUAGAGCGAUUGGCUCAUAACCAAUUUGUCGCAGGUUCGAUUCCUGUACUUUCAACCA